rnacentral:rRNA from 1 species
UACGUAGGGGGCAAGCGUUGUCCGGAUUAUUGGGCGUAAAGAGCGUGUAGGCGGCCAAGCAGGUCCGCUGUGAAAACUCGAGGCUCAACCUCGAGACGUCGGUGGAAACCGUUUGGCUAGAGUCCGGAAGAGGAGAGUGGAAUUCCCGGUGUAGCGGUGAAAUGCGCAGAUAUCGGGAAGAACACCCGUGGCGAAGGCGGCUCUCUGGGACGGUACUGACGCUGAGACGCGAAAAGCGUGGGGAGCGAACGAGG